UACGGCCAUAUCACGUUUAUCACCGAUUCCUGUACGAUCACCGAAGUUAGGCAUCGUCGAGCCUGGUCAGUACCUAAAUGGGUGACCGCUUGGGAAUAGCAGAUGCUGUAAGC